rfam:Heligmosomoides polygyrus genome assembly, scaffold: HPBE_scaffold0004103
GCGCCGGUGGUGUAACACAGCAUUCCCGCCCGGUUAGAGGGAGGUGCGGGUUCGAGUCCCGCCUGGCGCC